CAACAAAGGUAUAUGGUGGAUGCCUAGACACUGCAUGACGAUGAAGGACGUAGCAGCCUGCGAUAAGCCUCGGGAAGGUGGCAAGCAACCGUUGAUCCGGGGAUUUCCGAAUGGGGAAACCCAAUCCUGUGAAGCAGGAUUACAGCUGUCUGAAUUCAUAGGGCAGUUGAGUGCACCUUGGGAACUGAAACAUCUCAGUACCAAGAGGAACAGAAAGAAUAAACGCAUUCUUUAACUGUUAAUUAGUAAUUGUUGACCCUUAAAAGUUCCACCCAAAGGGUGGUCGCCCUCUGGGCGAAACGGUUAAAAGUUAACGGUUAGAGAUUGCUCUAUUCCCCUAGUAGCGGCGAGCGAACGGGGAGGAGCCCAAACUUUAUCGAUAGAUGAUCUGGUGUGAAGCCCAGCCGCAAGGUUGGAGUGGAAUGCUAGUGAAAUGGUCACACGCCUAAUGCUUCGGUAGGGAGUUGUAAGAGCUACAGUGUUUCCUGUGUGUGAGGGGAGACCAGAGUAUACGAAAUAUAUCCUCCAUAGUAGAAUCCGCUGGAAUGCGGAGCCAAAGAAGGUGAUAGCCCUGUACGCGAAAUGGGUUAUAGCUCUGCUGUAGCUUCUUGAGUACCACGAGGCUGGAGAAACCUUGUGGGAAACAAGCGUCACUAUGCGCUAAGGCUAAAUACAUGCGGUGAUCGAUAGUGAACAAGUACCGUGAGGGAAAGGUGAAAAGUACCCCGAUGAGGGGGAUGAAAUAGUAUCUGAAACCAUAUACUUACAAGGAGUCGGAGCCCAGCACCACUUUUGUGUCUGAUUGGCGGGUGCAUCUAGAAAUCUGGAUGCAAUGCGCUGAACGCACACGGCGCGAACGCGCCGCAGUGAAAUCGGGAACAAAAGUGGUGCUUGGGUGACGGCGUGCCUAUUGAAGAAUGAACCAACGAGUUAGUUACGUGUUGCUUAUUUAAGCUCUUUGGAGCGAAGGUUAAGUGAAAGCGAGGGUUAAACGCCCGUAUCUAGACUUUGAUCUUGCCCCGCGCAAGCGGGAUGAGAUCAAUUUCUGGAGUGCAUCACGUACUAGACCCGAAACCGGGUGAGCUAGCCAUGACCAGGGUGAAGUCUCGGUAAAACGAGAUGGAGGCCCGAACCCACAAGCCGUGCGACACUUGGGGAUGAGUUGUGGUUAGAGGAGAAAUUCCAAUCGAACUCGGAGAUAGCUGGUUCUCCUCGAAAUAGUUUUUGGACUAGCCUGUACCGUUAAGCACCGGAGGUAGAGCACUGGAUGGGGUCAGAUGGAGCAAUCCUACUGAUCCUAAUCAAACUCCGAAUGCCGGUGUGUAUUGGUAUGGAGUCAGACCAUGGGGGCUAAGCUCCAUAGGUCAAAAGGGAAACAGCCCAGACCUCAAUCUAAGGUCCCUAAAUUGCAGUUCAGUGUAGAAGGUGGUAUUGCGACUUAUACAACUAGGAGGUUGGCUUAGAGGCAGCCAUCCUUUAAAGAAAGCGUAACAGCUCACUAGUCAAGUCGCUUUGUGCCGAAAAUUCAACGGGGCUAAACUGCAUACCGACGAUGAGGAUCCGCUUACUUUAUUGUGAGCGGGUGGUAGAGGAGCGUUCUCUGCGCACUGAAGCGGGAGGGUAACCGACCGUGGAGUGCAGAGAAGUGCGAAUGUUGGUAUAAGUAGCAAAAAGUCCGGUAAAAACCCGGACCACCGUAAACCCAAGGUUUCCUGGGCAACGCAAAUCGACCCAGGGUUAGGCAAUCCUAAGGCGAGGCCGAAAGGCGUAGCCGAUGGAAGAGCAGGUUAAUAUUCCUGCCCUAGUGCCGUAUUUCAAUGGGGUGACGUAGUUUCGCGAGGCGAUCGUUAUAAGGUUAUGAACGUUGGCCGUUUGUAGCGUGGCUCUCUUGGCAAAUCCGGAGAGCAACACACGUGAAGACGGUCAGAAGACCAAGUCCCUCGGGAUGCGGUCAAUUCGCAUCAACGGAUUACCCAGAAAAACCCCUAGAGCUAAUGCGGCACUAUCUGUACCGGAAACCGACACAGGUGGGUGAGGAGAGUAUCCUCAGGUGGACGAGAGAAACUUCGCUAAGGAACUCGGCAAUACAGCGGCCGUAACUUAGGGAUAAGGCCUUCCAGCCCUAGUUUCGAUCUAAAUAAUUAAUUCAAGUUUGAUUAUGCAUAUCAUGUAUGUCAUUCAGCAUGAUCAAACGAGGCAUGUAUACUUCGGUCGUACUUCUGAUCUGAAACGCAGACUAGCGCAGCACAAUGCGGGUUUGCAGACGUCAACCAAAAGAGAAUCAGGUGUACGGCACCUUGUGUACGCAGAAGCGUAUCGAGAUAAGCGCGAUGCUGUGCAACGAGAAGAUAAAUUGAAACAGCAUGGUAGCGCUAAGUAUAAACUGUAUAUUCGAAUCAAGCAUUCUAUGAUUCGAGAUCGAAACUAGGGCUGGACGCAGCUAAAGACGCUAAGCGACUGUUUACCAAAAACACAGGUCCCUGCUAAAUCGCAAGAUGAUGUAUAGGGGCUGAUGCCUGGCCAGUGUCAGAAAGUUAAGGGGAGGGGUGCAAGCCUCGAACCGAAGCUCUGAUGAACGCCGGCGGUAACUAUAACCGUCCUAAGGUAGCGAAAUUCCUUGUCGGGUGAGUUCCGACCUGCACGAAUGGCAUAACGACUUAGCGACUGUCUCAGCGAAGUACUCGGCGAAAUUGCAAGACGAGUAAAGAUGCUCGUUACCCGUAGCUAGACGAAAAGACCCCGUGAAGCUUUACUAUACUCUGGUAUUGAAUUAGGAGUUGCCAUAUUCAGUAUACGUGGGAGACUUUGAAGCCCUGCCGUUAGGCGGGGUGGAGUCACCAGUGAGAUACCACGUUUGGUUGCUUUUAGUUCUUCAUCCUGAACCCUGAAGCGGGUUCGGUGACAGUAUCAGACGGGUAGUUUAACUGGGGCGGUUGCCUCCCAAAUGGUAACGGAGGCGUUCACAAAGGUUGGCUAGACCCCGAUGGAAACGGGGAUUGGUCGUGCAUGCGCACAAGCCAGCUUUACUGCAAGAGUGACCACUCGAGCAGUUACGAAAGUAGGAGCAAGUGAUCCGACCGUACGAUAUAGGACGGCGGAAGCUCAACGGAUAAAAGUUACUCCGGGGAUAACAGGCUGAUCAGGUCCAAGAGUCCACAUCGACGACCUGGUUUGGCACCUCGAUGUCGGCUCGUCGCAUCCUGGGGGUGAAGAAGCUCCCAAGGGUUUGGCUGUUCGCCAAUUAAAGCGGCACGUGAGCUGGGUUCAGAACGUCGUGAGACAGUAAGACCUUGCUGUCUAUAAAUUCGGCUAUAUGCUGGAAACUCUGAAAACCUCCAAGGAGAUUAGGAGGUUGAAGAAUCUCACACUACAUGAUAGUAUUCGUGUAAUAAUGUGUUGAGUGCAGACAACCAGCAGGGAAGGUCAAAAAGAAGUCGUCUACAUCCGUGGUAUGUAAGUGGUUUUGUUGAUGGAGAGGGUUCAUUUCAUGUGGCGAUCUACCGCGAUACUCGCAUGACUGCUCAAUGGAAGAUUAUUCCGGAGUUUCAUGUCAGUCAACGGUAUUCGAGCCGCCACGUACUCGAUGAGCUCGUACCGUUUUUCCGGUGCGGCUAUGUCAAAGCGAAUCACGCAACAAAUCCCCGCGAUUCAACCUACGUGUACGUAGUAAGGAAUCGUCAGGAUCUUCUGGAAAAGAUAAUAUCUUUUUUUGAAGAGUACCCGUUACGUACCGAAAAAUCGAACGAUUAUAGGAUUUUUACUAAGAUUGUUCGCUCAAUGGAUGCUGGUCUGCAUCGAUCAAAAACCGGUGCGCAAAAGAUCAUCGCACUCGCCUACUCGAUGAACAAUCGAGGGCACUAUCGGCGGCGAGCGAUGCCAAAGAUUUCUUUUUGAAACCCUCAGAGACUAUACGCCGAACGCACCUUUGCAGGUGUAAAGAUAUAGUCCGAACUCUAUGGCGACAUAGAGAGGCAAGCAGAAAUGACUUGUCCACGUGAUAAGGGUCAAUUGUUAAAAGUCUCAGCCAAAGGCUGAUCCGCCUCUGGCGGAAAUUGUCCGUUGUUACGAAGUAACAAUGUUGUCGGUCUCCUAUCUGCUACGGGCGUAGAAUCUUGAGGGGGCUCAUUCCUAGUACGAGAGGACCGGAAGGGACGAACCUCUAGUGUACCAGUUGUGUCACCAGAUGCAUUGCUGGGUAGCUAUGUUCGGCACGGAUAAGCGCUGAAAGCAUAUAAGCGCGAAGCCGUCCCCAAGAUUAGGAUUCGUUAUAAGCUCCUGGGAGACGACCAGGUUGAUAGGCCUCAGGUGUACGUUCCGUAAGGAAUUCAGCCGAGAGGUACUAAUAAGCUGAUGU
rnacentral:rRNA from 1 species